rnacentral:rRNA from 1 species
GAUGAACGCUGGCGGCGUGCCUAAUACAUGCAAGUCGAGCGAACAGACGAGGAGCUUGCUCCUCUGACGUUAGCGGCGGACGGGUGAGUAACACGUGGAUAACCUACCUAUAAGACUGGGAUAACUUCGGGAAACCGGAGCUAAUACCGGAUAAUAUAUUGAACCGCAUGGGUCAAUAGUGAAAGACGGUUUUGCUGUCACGUAUAGAUGGAUCCGCGCCGCAUUAGCUAGUUGGUAAGGUAACGGCUUACCAAGGCAACGAUGCGUAGCCGACCUGAGAGGGUGAUCGGCCACACUGGAAGUGAGACACGGUCCAGACUCCUACGGGAGGCAGCAGUAGGGAAUCUUCCGCAAUGGGCGAAAGCCUGACGGAGCAACGCCGCGUGAGUGAUGAAGGUCUUCGGAUCGUAAAACUCUGUUAUUAGGGAAGAACAAAUGUGUAAGUAACUAUGCACGUCUUGACGGUACCUAAUCAGAAAGCCACGGCUAACUCCGUG